UUUGCAAAUGAGGUUUAUCUUGUUGUACUUCAUGAGAUUUUAUGUUCUCCUACUCUGACACGUUUCACGGAAACAGCUCAACGUGUGGUAAUACGUUUCUAUCUUGUUCUCUAUAUGUUGUCCCUCUAAGUAGGAAUCACAUUCAACUCAACCUUUGGUGACUGUGCUUACCUACCUACCCUUUAAACAAUGAAGGUCCUGCUGUUGCUGAUAAUUGCUGUAGUGGGGACGUUCAACAUGUCGGAUGCACAGAAACCACCACCUUGUAUGCGUUCUCUGGCAAUUUGUGAAGUGAUUCUGUUCACCAAAGUGAUCCGUUUUCCUUGCUGUCGACCCCUAACAUGCCAAACUGUCGGAACAAAAAGAUUAUGUGUCUGACCUGCUGGCACAAGCUGUUGUGGACUCUGACAUGACAUGUCAUGUCAAGUUAACACGGACCUGGCAUUGUGAUGUUUAUUAAAUCGCUUUAUUGAAUGUCA